AUUGAACGCUGGCGGCAGGCCUAACACAUGCAAGUCGAACGAGUGGCGGACGGGUGAGUAAUGCCUGGGAAACUGCCUGAUGGAGGGGGAUAACUACGGGAAACGGUAGCUAAUACCGCAUACCAUCGGAUGAGCCCAAAUGGGAUUAGCUAGUUGGUGAGGUAAAGGCUCACCAAGGCGACGAUCCCUAGCUGGUCUGAGAGGAUGACCAGCCACACUGGAACUGAGACACGGUCCAGACUCCUACGGGAGGCAGCAGUGGGGAAUAUUGCACAAUGGGGGCAAGCCUGAUGCAGCCAGGCCGCGUGUAUGAAGAAGGCCUUCGGGUUGUAAAGUACUUUCAGCGGGGAGGCGUUACCCACAGAAGAAGCACCGGCUAACUCCGUGCCAGCAGCCGCGGUAAUAC
rnacentral:rRNA from 1 species